CUUCUCUAGCAGCAGUCUUUCAUGGCAAGUAGAUCCCCUACACAACACAUUCCCAGAAGUGGGAAACCCUCAACAUAACGCGUAGUGGGGGCGUUGGGACCUUAAAACUGACGUGAAUCUACGAUUCCCAGUAGCGAGGCAAAACACCAGAGGACGUGACCAUGAGCCUACCGUCUCGCUCCCUAGGCGACUCAAUGCCCAGGGACUUCAAGCCUGCAAGGACUAGGGAAUGGAAAGCAUCGGCUACAAGUGCCAUCCUCCCCGCUACCCUUCCUCUCCGGUCCCAAGGAGGCGUGUACUAAGUGAAAGGACUGGGCUUAUAGAUCCCACCCAUUUGGCGAGCAAAAUAAAGUCACGACUCCGUUGCGCA
ensembl:lincRNA Gm29638 predicted gene 29638